ACUCCUACGGGAGGCAGCAGUGGGGAAUUUUGCGCAAUGGGGGAAACCCUGNNNCAGCAACGCCGCGUGGGUGAUGAAGGCCUUCGGGUCGUAAAGCUCUGUCUGGAGGGAAGAAAUGAUUGGGAGCUAAUACCUCUUGAUCUUGACGGUACCUCUGAAGGAAGCACCGGCUAACUCCGUGCCAGCAGCCGCGGUAAU
rnacentral:rRNA from 1 species